rnacentral:rRNA from 1 species
UACGUAGGCAGCGAGCGUUGUUCGGAGUUACUGGGCGUAAAGGGCGUGUAGGCGGUUGCUUAAGUUUGGUGUGAAAUCUCCCGGCUCAACCGGGAGGGUGCGCCGAAUACUGAGUGACUAGAGUGCGGGAGAGGAAAGUGGAAUUCCUGGUGUAGCGGUGAAAUGCGUAGAUAUCAGGAGGAACACCGGUGGUGUAGACGGCUUUCUGGACCGUAACUGACGCUGAGACACGAAAGCGUGGGUAGCAAACAGG